rnacentral:lncRNA from 1 species
AUGGGAGACAGCGGGAAUGGCCCGUCCGACGACGAUGCGACUGGUCCGUCCGGCACCGCCGCAACUUCAGCAGCUGCAACUGGCCCGUCCGACGUCGCCACAACUAGUCCGUCCGAUGCCAGCGCGACUACGGCAGUGGCAACUGGGCCGUCCGACGUCGCCACAACUAGUCCGUUCGAUGCCAGCGCGACUAUGGCAGUGGCAACUGGCCAGUCCGACGUCGCCACAACUAGUCCGUCCCAUGCCAGCACGACUACGGCAGUGGCAACUGGCCCGUCCGACGUCGCCACAACUACUCCGUCCGAUGCCAGCGCGACUACGGCAGUGGCAACUGGCCCGUCCGACAACGACGCAUCUUCGGCAGCUGCAUCGGGUCCUGUAAUUUGGGAAAUAAAAAAACCCUAUUACGCAUUCCUGCGCCUGUCUCCCAAUCCUUCAUACCGACGUGACAGUGUGGCUGUUGUUAUGAUAGUUGGGGUAAUCCAGUCAGUCAACAGUGCCAAAAGGAGGUCAGCCAGCCGGAAUCAAAUGGCUAGCAGGAUGUCUACCUCCCUCCCUGGAUGUCUAGGUCCUCGGGGCUCAGGUUCUGCACCGCCAUUGUUCCCCUGUUGGACUCGCUGAAUAACCCGCUCAAUAACGCACUGAGUAACUACCUGAAUCACUGGCUGAAUCAGCCGAGCGACAACAAUGGCCUCUGCUAGAGUUUAGGAGGUUUAGGAUGCUGCCAGUCCAUUGUUUCCAGGCCUAAGUACCAGUGCUUCCCAGGACUAGCGAUGACAAAUCAGAGGAGAAAGUAUGGUCAAGUGGUACACUGUUAUUGUCAGGGCAUUAUCAGGGCAGAGGCCAGCAGUUGUAAGCCAAAGCACUUGAGAGACACACUGUCUGUUACUCUUGGGAUUCUCUAAAUUGAAUGUUGUAACAAUAGCCUGGUCCCAGAACUGUUUGUGUUAUCCAACUCCUAGUAGGCAAGAUGGCACCAGCGGAUCUGGGAUCAGGCUAUUAUAAUGAAUGACACCUGCGGUAUGGAGGAACAUACCGCAGAGACCUGGGGAUAAGAAUGGUGUUAAAGCAGCUGCAACAUAUUCUGUCUAAAAGAUCUAAAGAUAAUAACAACAUGAGGUAUUUCAACCAAUGAAGAAGGCCAAGUGUGACUAAGACAGUAUCAAAUCAAAAUCAAAUCAAAUCACAUUUAUUUAUAUAGCCCUUCGUACAUCAGCUGAUAUCUCAAAGUGCUGUACAGAAACCCAGCCUAAAACCCCAAACAGCAAGCAAUGCAGGUGUAGAAGCACAGUGGCUAGGAAAAACUCCCUAGAAAGGCCAAACCCUAGGAAGAAACCUAGAGAGGAACCAGCUAUUGG